CUUUCAGGAGGCUUCUGCUCAGCUAGGGAGACAAGACUUACAUAGAGAACACAAGAAAUUGAACAAAAUUGGUUUUAUGUGCCAGAGGAUUUCAGGGACUGGAGAGAUUGUUAUGGAUGCUCACAGAAGGCUCAUGGAGGCUUGGACUGAGCCCAAAAGAAUGAAGACUGCUUAAGAAGGCAGAGGAGAAUGUUAGGAGAAAGCCACAUUCUAUGCAAAGGUUCCCUAGGUGCAAAUGCAUAAGGCAUGCUGGGAAGCUGAUGAGUAACUCAUCUGGCUAGGGAAGACUGCACUGAACACAUCUGAGGGAGAGAGGUGAUGAAAACAGUUUAAAGAAAAUCACUCCUUGUGGAUGCCAGAUGGAGUGCAUUGGGGCGCAACUGGAGCUUCCGACAUGGCAGCUGUUUCCAAAACUCCAAUCUAUUCUCAAAAUGAAGUGGCAUCAUCAUCUGGGGCUUCUAGCUGGCUUGUCAACGUCUGCAGCUUGACUCUAUUGGUUGCUCUUUGA
rnacentral:lncRNA from 13 species